rnacentral:rRNA from 1 species
GUAGGUGAACCUGCGGAAGGAUCAGUCUUGAAUUAGUCUGAUUCCGGCGACGCGUGCCUCACGGCGCUGCUCGCCGGGUGAGCCCUCUGGGCUUCACAUCCCUUCGUGUGAUCCUCGUGGUCACGUUAAUUGGAGCGAGAGGUCAUCCUCCGCCCUGCGGUCUGGACGUUCGCGUCGGGUCCUCUCCGCAUCGCCCCCACCGAACAUGCAUAAAUACAUGGGGCGGGCCUCUGGCCAGACUUAACUACACAACUAUCGAGAUCAUACAGUUUUAUACAACUGGUAGCGUUGGAUCCCUCGGCAUGGCUAUCGAUGAAGAGCGCGGCCAGCUGCGAAAUGUGAUGUGAAUUGCAACUCAAAGCGGUUAUCGUGAAUCAUUGACUACUUGAACGCAUUGCACCGCCCUUUUGGGAGUGGUACGCCCGAUUGAGUGUCAUAAUCUCUUCAGGCCCCUCGGUCUUGGUCGUUCGCUCGACGGCCGCAGAUGCGCUGCAACCCAUCUUCCACAGGUGGCGGAGGCACUUUUGCGGGAGACUCUGGUGGCUCUGGCUUCGAGGCUGCACGGCGACCCCGCCGCGCGCCUUCAGAUGCAUUAGCGGUCGAUCCUGGUCAGACAAGUUCGACUCCACGUGAUGAUAUCAUGUUCGUGGAGGAGUGCCUAGCACGCUUGUCCGUUUGGGUGCUGCUUCGAACCCGCCCUCGGGCAAACCCCACCUCGGUGGAACCUUGACAUUGGCCUCAGUUGGGUGGGAUGACCCGCUUGAUUU